GAUGAACGCUGGCGGCGUGCCUAAUACAUGCAAGUCGAGCGAACAGACGAGGAGCUUGCUCCUCUGACGUUAGCGGCGGACGGGUGAGUAACAUGUGGAUAACCCACCUAUAAGACUGGGAUAACUUCGGGAAACCGGAGCUAAUACCGGAUAAUAUAUUGAACCGCAUGGUUCAAUAGUGAAAGACGGUUUUGCUGCUACUUAUAGAUGGAUCCGCGCCGCAUUAGCUAGUUGGUAAGGUAACGGCUUACCACGGCAACGAUGCGAAGCCGACCUGAGAGGGUGAUCGGCCACACUGGAACUGAGAAACGCUCCAGACUCCUACGGGAGGCAGCAGUAGGGAAUCUUCCGCAAGGGGCGAAAGCCUAACGAAGCAACGCGGCGUGAGUGAUGAAGGUCUUCGGAUCGUAAAACUCUGUUAUUAGGAAAGAACAAAUGUGUAAGUAACUAUGCACGUCUUGACGGUACCUAAUCAGAAAGCCACGGCUAACUACGUG
rnacentral:rRNA from 1 species